CUACGGGUGGCUCCAGUGGGGAAUAUUGCACGAUGGGCGAAAGCCUGAUGCAGCAACGCCGCGUGAGGGACGACGGCCUUCGGGUUGUAAACCUCUUUUAGCAGGGAAGAAGCGAAAGUGACGGUACCUGCAGAAAAAGCACCGGCUAACUACGUGCCAGCAGCCGCGGUAAUACGUAGGGUGCAAGCGUUGUCCGGAAUUAUUGGGCGUAAAGAGCUCGUAGGCGGUUUGUCGCGUCUGCUGUGAAAAUCCGAGGCUCAACCUCGGACCUGCAGUGGGUACGGGCAAACUAGAGUGCGGUAGGGGAGAUUGGAAUUCCUGGUGUAGCGGUGGAAUGCGCAGAUAUCAGGAGGAACACCAAUGGCGAAGGCAGAUCUCUGGGCCGUAACUGACGCUGAGGAGCGAAAGCGUGGGGAGCGAACAGGAUUAGAUACCCCCGUAGUC
rnacentral:rRNA from 1 species